rnacentral:rRNA from 1 species
UGGGGAAUUUUGGACAAUGGGGGAAACCCUGAUCCAGCCAUCCCGCGUGUGCGAUGAAGGCCUUCGGGUUGUAAAGCACUUUUGGCAGGAAAGAAACGUCAUGGGUUAAUACCCCGUGUAACUGACGGUACCUGCAGAAUAAGCACCGGCUAACUACGUGCCAGCAGCCGCGGUAAUACGUAGGGUGCAAGCGUUAAUCGGAAUUACUGGGCGUAAAGCGUGCGCAGGCGGUUCGGAAAGAAAGAUGUGAAAUCCCAGAGCUCAACUUUGGAACUGCAUUUUUAACUACCGGGCUAGAGUGUGUCAGAGGGAGGUGGAAUUCCGCGUGUAGCAGUGAAAUGCGUAGAUAUGCGGAGGAACACCGAUGGCGAAGGCAGCCGCCUGGGAUAACACUGACGCUCAUGCACGAAAGCGUGGGGAGCAAACAGG